GUUUUGUAUUAAAGAUAAACACCCUUGUAUAUGAUUUAGAUAUAUAAGGAUAAUUUGAAGCAGCAAAGUAUUUACCGCCUUUGUUCACAAUGGUAUGUAAAAUUACAUUCUCUUUAAAUGUAAAAAAUACUCCUUUAUUCAAAAUCUCUCAAUAUAUUUAGAAUAGUUGCUAAUUGGAAAUAUGACGUUAAUUAUCUUUCUUUGACCUGUUAGGGAGAAGACAACUUAUUCCCUAGUUAUUAUUAGUAAAUGUAAUAACUACAGUUAUUAGUGGCUUAAAAUACCAGAAACCCCUCAAAUAUUGUCUUAGAAAACAUUUUUUUUUUUUUUUUAAACCAAGAUCUGACAGCCAUUGUGGAAAGUUACGUUCGUGAGAUUGGAUGCUUAACAAUGUGAAUCUUAAUUGUUUAAGUAUGUUUUUCAGUGGCUGUUGGAUGUAGCUUAAGAUGAUUAGAAUUUUUAUUAUUAUUUCUAAAAGUGAGUUAAGAAAGCACUCCGAUACAAUAUUGAAUGUAUUUAUAUUUUAACUCUACCUUUGUAUAGGUGGUUUAUGUACCUUUAACCAUUACAAACCAAAUUACAUUUUCUUUGUAUUUGAAAAACUGAUAAAAU